GUCUACGGCCAUACCACCCUGAACACACCCGAUCUCAUCUGAUCUCAGAAGAUAAGUAUUAAGGUCUUUAACAUAAGGCCUAGUGAAUCUCUUGGAAAUAUCUGUGAACA
rnacentral:rRNA from 1 species